AUGCGUCACCUUAUGGUGAUUUCCCACAUCGUGCCUUCAGGAGAAGAGAGGCCAAUAGCAUUUGCCUCGCGCACCUUUAACAAAGUGGAGAGCAAGUAUGCGCAAAUCAAGCAAGAAGCUUUGGGAAUCAUUUUUGGUAUUCAGAAAUGUCACCAGUACCUGUAUGGCAAGCAGUUUAUACUGCUGACUGAUCACCGGCCUUUAACCACCAUUCAUGUGCCGCACACAGGUGUCCCCUCUCUGGCAGCGAGCCGAAUGCAGAGAUAUGCUCUGUUAUCAGCGCACACAUAUGAAAUAAGAUAUCAGAAGGCAGAGCUGCAUGUAAAUCCAGACUGUCUAUCAAGGCUACCAUUACCCGUGACAUUUCCCGAGAGCAAGCAGAAAGACAUUUUCUACUUUGAGCAAGUCACAAUGGCUCCAGUGACAUCAACACAGGUCAGAAGAUGCACAGGGAACGAUCCAAUUCUGUCUGGAGUCAUGGAAAUGGUAAAAGAUGGACAUGUCUCUAAGGAUAUCACCAACAUGAAGCCAUACCUGUCUAGGAAGAAUGAACUGUCAAUUCAUUCAGGAUGUCUUCUCUGGGGACAAAGAGUCCUCAUUCCCCCAUCGCUGAUGAAACCGGUUCUCCAGCAGCUCUAUGUGGACCAUUGUGGUAUCGUGCGAAUGAAGGAAAUGACACAAAGUUAUUUUUGGUGGCCAGGUCUUAAGGGGGACAUUGAAGGUAAGGCAAUGUCAUGUCCAUCCUGCCAGCAAGUGAGGAACGAACCUCGAUUGGCCCCAUUACACCCGUGGGACUGGCCAGAAACCCCUUGGCAUUGUGUACACGUGGAUUUUGCUGGUCUGGUUGAAGGAAAGAUGUUGGUAAUAGUGGUGGAUGCCCACAGCAAGUGGCCUGAAGUUGCUGUUAUGCAAUCUACAACUGCUGAGAAAACAGUAGUAGAACUGGGAGAAAUGUUUAGCCAAUUUAGCUACCCUGAACAGCUCAUCAGUGACAAUGGGCCACAGUUUACAUCACAAGAAUUUGCUGUGUUCUUACACCGUUGUGGUGUACAACAUCAGCUCCGUACCACAACGCCACGAACGGUCUGGCAGAGAGAAUGGUUCAAACCAUCAAACAUGUCUUAA
ensembl:lncRNA